rnacentral:rRNA from 2 species
GGGGGGCUGCUAAUACAUGCAAGUCGAGCGAACUGAUUAGAAGCUUGCUUCUAUGACGUUAGCGGCGGACGGGUGAGUAACACGUGGGCAACCUGCCUGUAAGACUGGGAUAACUUCGGGAAACCGAAGCUAAUACCGGAUAGGAUCUUCUCCUUCAUGGGAGAUGAUUGAAAGAUGGUUUCGGCUAUCACUUACAGAUGGGCCCGCGGUGCAUUAGCUAGUUGGUGAGGUAACGGCUCACCAAGGCAACGAUGCAUAGCCGACCUGAGAGGGUGAUCGGCCACACUGGGACUGAGACACGGCCCAGACUCCUACGGGAGGCAGCAGUAGGGAAUCUUCCGCAAUGGACGAAAGUCUGACGGAGCAACGCCGCGUGAGUGAUGAAGGCUUUCGGGUCGUAAAACUCUGUUGUUAGGGAAGAACAAGUACGAGAGUAACUGCUCGUACCUUGACGGUACCUAACCAGAAAGCCACGGCUAACUACGUGCCAGCAGCCGCGGUAAUACGUAGGUGGCAAGCGUUAUCCGGAAUUAUUGGGCGUAAAGCGCGCGCAGGCGGUUUCUUAAGUCUGAUGUGAAAGCCCACGGCUCAACCGUGGAGGGUCAUUGGAAACUGGGGAACUUGAGUGCAGAAGAGAAAAGCGGAAUUCCACGUGUAGCGGUGAAAUGCGUAGAGAUGUGGAGGAACACCAGUGGCGAAGGCGGCUUUUUGGUCUGUAACUGACGCU